UACGAAGGGGGCAAGCGUUGUUCGGAAUUACUGGGCGUAAAGAGUGUGUAGGCGGUGCUCUAAGUUUGGUGUGAAAUCUCCCGGCUCAACUGGGAGGGUGCGCCGAAAACUGGAAUGCUUGAACAUGGGAGAGGAAAGCGGAAUUCCUGGUGUAGCGGUGAAAUGCGUAGAUAUCAGGAGGAACACCUGCGGUGUAGACGGCUUUCUGGACCAUUGUUGACGCUGAGACACGAAAGCGUGGGUAGCAAACAGG
rnacentral:rRNA from 1 species